AGGUUUGGCCGAAUGCGACCCCAGCCUCAGUCGGGCGGUGGGGAUGUGUGGCAGGGGUGUUGCAGUGGGCUCAAGGGGCUGUGCCAGGAAGGCUAUGAUGAUGGCUAUGAGAUGAUUGUGUUUACAAGGUCUCCUUCCUUUUAGUGACCCUGGACCUGAGACAAGAGAGUGUGGAGUGUGGAGUAAUCUGGAAAGCUGGCUGCCAGGAAAAGACCACGGUUCUAGACCACAAAGGAACAUUUCUGUGCUCUAAAUAAAAGAAACCAGAUAGUCACACGAACACUCUAUGUCUUGAAAACAAGUUUUAACAAAGUCCUGGAGACGUGCCCAAUGCUGGAGGACCUCCUGCUUUACCCCUGACUCAGAUAAACUCAUCUCUGACACACACACACACACACACACACACACAUGCUGAAUUCACAUCUUGCCAUUAAAUGUGAUACAGUAACCAACUUUUUCUUUCAGAAAAAAAGAAAAUUGAGAGAUUCACCGUUCUGUUUGCAUCAGUCUAUCAGAUGAAUCCCCUCCAAGUCCAAUAUUUACAUCAGUUACAGUGAUAAUGCUUGGUGUAUACUUUCAGCCACAGCAGUAGAAAGUCAGGAAUGAAUCUCACUGAAAUUGUAGCUGCAUUUGCUAUUUAAUUUAAUUGGAAUAAAUACAGUUAACAACUCCUUUAUAAAAAUCUGUUAUAUUUGAUCUCAGAUAGCCACUACACACACUCUGUUUUUAUCCCUUUAUCUUUCACUGGUCUGUCGUUUGAUAUAACAAGAAAGUUAAUAUCAUGGCUGCUCUGGCAGAUGUGUGGAGUGAAGAGAGAUAGGAGCCAAAUGCAGAGGCUGACGAGGACUUAAACUAAAAAUGUGCCUUUUAUUGAGGCAGCACAAAACUACAAACAAAAAUGCAGGAAUAUAAAGACUAAAGUAACAAAAACUAAACGGGGAGGGAAGUAGAAACAAAUAUAGAGAAACUAAAGAUCUGAGACGUGGAACACAACAAAUGAUAACCUGGAACAAGAGACAUGUCAUGGAUGAUACACAGACAACCCAGCAGCAAACAGAGGAAGACAAUGGGCUUAAAUACACAGAGGGAUAAAUGAGGGAAUAAGACACAGGAGGAGAGCACAGCUGGGAGAAAUCACAAACAACGAGACCAGUGGGAGGAAAACUGAAACACUAACAUAGCACAAGAGACUAUCAAAGUAAAACAGCAAACAAGAAACGACAUUUACAAAGACACAGAGUUGACAUUGAUACUUGACUGACUGGGAAGAAAUGGGGAACAUGGAAACAAGAGUGACUAGACAUGACAUGUGGGACACAGGGGCAAAGCAAAGUAACAGAAACCUAAAGCCUAAGAAUAUAACACAAGAAGAAAACAAAGAGAACCAAAAGAAUAAUCAAUGCAUAUAAAUUAAACAAACAAAAAAACACUGGAUCACAGACUCAGUACCAUGACAGUUGAAUGUACAAUAAUAAAGACUUUAAAUCAGAUGACAAUGUAGCUGACACUGUGCUUAUUAGUGUGUGGUCAACCAGAAAUCUUCAUAGUGUCAUCCAUACAUGAGAUCUUUAUACAAAUGAGGAAAAGACAAUGAAGAAACUGUUUAAUUGAUAUGAAAUGACUGAAUUAUAUGAAAUAUUAUGGCUUUGUCUGCCAGAUUGUUUUUCUGUAAACUACUUUGAACUACUGGCAGUCAGUGAUGUCACCUAAAGGCAAGAUUCUAUGUUGUGUUGCCGUAGUUUCCAGAGUUUACUUAUAAAGCUCACUUACAGAACUCAGUUAGAAACGUCAAGCAUUUGAAGGACGCUCAUUUGAAGGAAUAUUAACUCAAUAUCAACUCAUUACGGUGACAUUUUCGAUUUUAAAGUUCUCCAAAAUUACAAUGACAAAGGAAACAAGAAAAAUUACCACUCCAGCAGAUAAAGAUUCAGGAGAUCAAGAUUGUAAGACCAGGACUGCUAAAAGAAAGGCCAGUCCUGAAAAGAAGACCCCAAUAAAAAGGAG